GAUCAUGGCUCAGGACGAACGCUGGCGGCGUGCUUAACACAUGCAAGUCGAACGAGAAUCUGUGGAACGAGGAUUCGUCCAAGUGAAGCAGAGGACAGUGGCGGACGGGUGAGUAACGCGUGAGGAACCUGCCUUUCAGAGGGGGACGAACAGUUGGAACGACUGCUAAUACCGCAUAACACAUGGGUGUCGCAUGGCACUGAUGUCAAAGAUUUACCGUCUGAAAGAUGG
rnacentral:rRNA from 1 species